rnacentral:miRNA from 1 species
UGUGGAGGCAGCGGGGUCAGGG